UGGCAUGGGUGGAGGUGGUGCUGGCACUGCUCCAUUUGAAGGCAUCGGUGGCGGUUGAGGUGCCAUACCCUUUGAUCCGAUGGGAGGUGGUGGUGGAGGUGGAGGUGAUAUUACAUUUCUGGAUGUCAUGGGAGGCGGCAGUGGUGGAGGUGGAAGUGUUUUUGUUGUGGUAUUAGGUGGCAAUGGAGGUGGUGGAGGCGGAGACGGAGAUGUAACUAUGUUUCUUAAUGUCAAAGAUGGCGACUUUAUGACAUUUGAAGAUAAUGUGAAUGGUGCUAGUGUAGCUGCGGCUUGUUCU
rnacentral:lncRNA from 1 species